rnacentral:lncRNA from 1 species
AAUUUUGGUCAAGGUCAGGGGUGUAAUAUAUGAUGCAACAUAUAUAAUAAAAUAGAAUAUGUAGCAUAUUUAAAAUAAUGAAGUUACUGAAUAACAAGCUUUAAAAAUAAAAUAAAAUAAAAUAAAAACCAAUGUGACAAUUCAGAACUGUAAAUCAGAAUUAUGUUACCCAUCAAAAUUUAAAAUUACUAGCCAUGUAAUGCUUUCUCUAGGGUUGAAACACCAUAUAAUUGUUAUUGUAAAAAAUUACCGUAUUUUGUAACAUUAACAAGGUAUAUAUUAUAACUAAAGAGUAUUAGUUCUUUACAUACCACUGCUUAUACAAAUCAAUAAUAUAUACAUACUUGUAAAAAGUAAACGUGUCAAUUGCUGUUGAGUGCCAACAAGGAUCAACCACAACUCAAAAAAAACAUACAUAUUUUCAUAAAUAUGCCAUCAAAAAUCGUAAAAUGCCUGUUUUUAAUCAUAAAUCAUACUGUAAUUAACACUCAGAACCACUUAGUUAUUCAGUUUUCUAAAUAUUUGUUUGUGACAUGUAACAAAACAUUUAAGGAACAACAAAAAAUAAAGUUUUAAAAAUAACUAAA